CAUGGUCCAGGACAUUCAGUGAAGAACAAGAUAUGGUCAAGGAACACAUUAUGGGAGGUUGGCUAUGAAGGAUGGUUAUAGAAGGUGGCACCACUCCUUCUGGCCUGAGAAAUGAGAAGACAAAGGUGAGAGAGAGCAUAACUGCUGGGCAAGUAAAGAAGGAAUCCAGAAGAGGAGAGAGUCAGAGAUGAGAAGCUCCAAAUUCGUAUGUAAAUUCUGCCCAAGUCUUAGACUGACUCCUGGACCAUACCUUUGUGGAUCAGACUUAAAGUAGUCCAAGUGCAGAUAAAAUAAAACAACAUAUAUUUUAGUUGCCACUCAAAAGAUAGAUUUUUCAGCUUGAGAGCACCAAAAUUAAUUGCUUGCUAAAAUGAGAACAACAGAAAUUGUUCUUGGAUCAUCCACUAUGUUCAGUACACAAUUAAAAAUUACUUGAUGUUUAUGGAUCUGGGAAAUUAUGAGCUGGUCUUAAGAGAAAAGAUAAUCAACCAAGAUCAACCCAAGGAAUAACUAGCAGACUAAGGAAUUUAAAGCAACUAAUGAAACUAAGCACAAUAAAAUAAAGGAAAAUAUAUUCACAAGAAGAGAAAACAGAAAACUCAGGAGAGAAAUUGAAACUAUAUCAAAGAACCAUAUGUAAAUUCUAUAACUAAAAACUUCAAUUCUGAAAUUUAAUACGUUGGAUAGGCUAAGAGGAGAAUAGAGAAGACAGAGAAAUAAAUUAGUAAACUGUAAUAUAUGUUAUCUGAUCUGAGGAACAAUUAAAAAAAUAGUAUCCUGAGGGCCUGUGGAACAAUAUAAAAAGGUAUAGCAUAUGUGUAAUUGAUGAUAUAGUAGAAGGAAGAAAGAAUUAGGCAGUGAACAUGUCCUAAGAACUAAUGAAAACAUUUCACCAACUUGGUAAAAAAAAAAAAA